GCUCUGGUGGCUCAGUCAUCAGAGCGUCCGCCUCGGAUGGGGAGGUCGCGGGUUUGAACCCUGGGCUGAGUCA